rnacentral:rRNA from 1 species
AUGGAGAUUUUCGAGUUUGUUAGAGACAUAGACUCUUUUCCAAAUAUAUUAAUAGCUUAUCGAAUUCUAUUUGCUGUAGCAUUCACUGUAGCAUCAGCUGAACGCAGUUUCUCAAAGUUGAAGUUAUUGAGAAAUUAUUUGAGAUUAUCAUUGUCACAGAAUGGAUUGAAUGGUCUUGCUACUUUAUGCAUUAGGAAAGCAAAGUUGGAUGAAAUAAAUAUUGAUGCACAUAUCUGA